ACUGCAUGCUUAGCGAAUGUUACAUAUUUUCUAUGCACAAUAUUCUUUCCAUUUCCUCUAUUCCUCAGCUCUCAAGCCUCACAGCCUGGAGAACUAUGGCUAAAGCCAACGAUGACUUCUGCCACUAGUAAUACUACCAGAGAGAGCCUCAAAAACACUGCUAGAUACAGUUAAAUCUUGGAUAAGACAUUCAGCAUGACAAGGGCACAGGUGGUACUGUCAUCAGUAAUACCCAUACAAGGAAUGCAAAAGCGAAAAGCCAAAUUGGGAAGGGAGCAGCUGGCUGGAAAGAUGAUAGCAGAAAGCGGGGUUUGAAUUCCUGGAACAUGGCUUGAAAUAUAAGAAUGACAGGUUCCUACCCAGAAAUGGAAAGGAGAGAAUACUUGCAAAAGCUCAGAAGAAUUUAUUUUCCUGGAAUCCUGAAAAUCUAAUCAAAAGGACUUUAAAUUGAAAAAGGAUAGGGACUGAACACCCCCCCACACCCCCUUAUAUAUCUAUGUUAUAAAUUAGCUGCAAUGAGGCUUGGAGAGUACUUCAGAAAUACAGACAUUCACAAGAGACAGACUUCAAAAAAGAACGCUGUAGUAGAAAUCAUGGUCCCCAAUGACUCUAGUCAUAUACAAAUGAAAAACAAUAACAGGAUGAACCAAA